rnacentral:rRNA from 1 species
GCCCCCAAGAGACGCGGGGACACCCGCUGAGUUUAAGCAUAUCAAUAAGCGGAGGAGGAGUCUUUGAACGCAAUGCGACCCCAGGUCAGAGAGCAUUUAGAGGAAGGAGAAGUCGUAACAAGGUUUCCGUACGUCACGAGAAGUCCACUGAACCUUAUGAUCAUUGUCGAGAACCGACCGAGAGACCGCGAACCCGUAAACGGAUGACACCGUGUCGGGCGGGCACUAUGCCCGCCCUGCUCGGGACCUCGCGUCGUGUCUGUGGGGACGGACGAAACCCCGGCGCGGCCUGCGCCAAGGAACAUAUGACAGGACGGACGCACGCCAACGCCUCUGCGGCGGGGCGACGUUCGCUCUCUAUCCAUACGACUCUCGGCAACGGAUAUCUCGGCUCUCGCAUCGAUGAAGAACGUAGCGAAAUGCGAUACUUGGUGUGAAUUGCAGAAUCCCGUGAACCAUGCGGUUCGCCGCCUGCGCCCGAGGCCUUUCGGCCGAGGGCACGCCUGCCUGGGGCUCCGUGCCCAACGCCCCUUCGGGGGCGGUCACGGAUGCGGAGAUUGGCCCCCCGUGCCUCGUGUGCGGCGGGCUUAAGCGCGGGCUGUCGGCGCCGGGAUGGGCACGACGAGUGGUGGACGGAGCAGCAAGUUCCGGACACGAUUUGCGGCCGGACCGGGCGAGCCGUGCUCCGUACGAGGAGGGCGUGCCGUCUCCCAGCAGGAUGUCGUGGCCGGUGAACCUGCGGAACCCGUCGCCUUAAGGGGCAA